AUACGGAGGGUGCAAGCGUUGUCCGGAUUUAUUGGGUUUAAAGGGUGCGUAGGUGGUUUUUUAAGUCAGUGGUGAAAGCCUACAGCUUAACUGUAGAGGUGCCAUUGAAACUGGGGAACUUGAGUAUGGACGAGGUAGGCGGAAUUUGUGGUGUAGCGGUGAAAUGCAUAGAUACCACAAAGAACACCGAUAGCGAAGGCAGCUUACUAGGCCAUAACUGACACUGAGGCACGAAAGUGUGGGGAGCGAACAGGAUUAGAUACCCUAGUAGUCC
rnacentral:rRNA from 1 species